rnacentral:lncRNA from 1 species
GCUGGCGAGAUUCGCUGGCGAGAUUCGCUUGUUUACACAACCAUUCACUGCAAAGUAAAGGAGAGAAUCCUGCCGUUUGAAUUUGAAAAAGAAGGUCUGGGCAUGAAGACCAUUAAUAGGAGUGUGUUAACGUAUAACUUUGGUGUGUGUAUUAAAACCGAUGCUUGUGUGUUUAGAUAGAGUGAAGGAAGUUUGAGAGUGUGUGGUCAUUGACGAGCUUUGCGCGAAGAGUUCUCUCUGUGUGUGGUGAAGAGCAGCAAUUGUGGAGAGUAGGAGUGAUAGGUGUCGCAGCCCAUACAAAUUUGAUUGCAUAUGAGAAAUGCAGUAUAGCUAGGGAAUGACCCCUAGGUCGUCUCCCAAAGACCAAUUUUGCGGUUCGAGAAUCGAGUCUAACACGAAGGGGGGGGGUUUGAAAAGGUUGUGGUGAAUACAGACGAAUUAGCUGAAAUCCAAAACACAGAUCCAAACAAAGAUGUAAACACAGAUCUAAAGAAAACGGUUUCAAACAC